rnacentral:rRNA from 1 species
CGUGUAGGCGGUUUUUUAAGUCUGAUGUGAAAGCCCCGGGCUCAACCUGGGAAGUGCAUUGGAUACUGGAAGACUUGAAUACGGGAGAGGGCAGUGGAAUUCCUGGUGUAGGAGUGAAAUCCGUAGAUAUCAGGAGGAACACCGGUGGCGAAGGCGGCUGCCUGGACCGAUAUUGACGCUGAGACGCGAAAGCGUGGGUAGCAAACA